GACGAACGCUGGCGGCGUGCUUAACACAUGCAAGUCGAACGGAAAGGCCCUGCUUUUGUGGGGUGCUCGAGUGGCGAACGGGUGAGUAACACGUGAGUAACCUGCCCUUGACUUUGGGAUAACUUCAGGAAACUGGGGCUAAUACCGGAUAGGAGCUCCUGCUGCAUGGUGGGGGUUGGAAAGCUUCGGCGGUUGGGGAUGGACUCGCGGCUUAUCAGCUUGUUGGUGGGGUAGUGGCUUACCAAGGCUUUGACGGGUAGCCGGCCUGAGAGGGUGACCGGCCACAUUGGGACUGAGAUACGGCCCAGACUCCUACGGGAGGCAGCAGUGGGGAAUAUUGCACAAUGGGCGGAAGCCUGAUGCAGCAACGCCGCGUGCGGGAUGACGGCCUUCGGGUUGUAAACCGCUUUCGCCUGUGACGAAGCGUGAGUGACGGUAAUGGGUAAAGAAGCACCGGCUAACUACGUGCCAGCAGCCGCGGUGAUACGUAGGGUGCGAGCGUUGUCCGGAUUUAUUGGGCGUAAAGGGCUCGUAGGUGGUUGAUCGCGUCGGAAGUGUAAUCUUGGGGCUUAACCCUGAGCGUGCUUUCGAUACGGGUUGACUUGAGGAAGGUAGGGGAGAAUGGAAUUCCUGGUGGAGCGGUGGAAUGCGCAGAUAUCAGGAGGAACACCAGUGGCGAAGGCGGUUCUCUGGGCCUUUCCUGACGCUGAGGAGCGAAAGCGUGGGGAGCGAACAGGCUUAGAUACCCUGGUAGUCCACGCUGUAAACGGUGGGUACUAGGUGUGGGGUCCAUUCCACGGGUUCCGUGCCGUAGCUAACGCUUUAAGUACCCCGCCUGGGGAGUACGGCCGCAAGGCUAAAACUCAAAGGAAUUGACGGGGCCCCGCACAAGCGGCGGAGCAUGCGGAUUAAUUCGAUGCAACGCGUAGAACCUUACCUGGGUUUGACAUGGAUCGGGAGUGCUCAGAGAUGGGUGUGCCUCUUUUGGGGUCGGUUCACAGGUGGUGCAUGGCUGUCGUCAGCUCGUGUCGUGAGAUGUUGGGUUAAGUCCCGCAACGAGCGCAACCCUUGUUCACUGUUGCCAGCACGUUAUGGUGGGGACUCAGUGGAGACCGCCGGGGUCAACUCGGAGGAAGGUGGGGAUGACGUCAAGUCAUCAUGCCCCUUAUGUCCAGGGCUUCACGCAUGCUACAAUGGCUGGUACAGAGAGUGGCGAGCCUGUGAGGGUGAGCGAAUCUCGGAAAGCCGGUCUCAGUUCGGAUUGGGGUCUGCAACUCGACCUCAUGAAGUCGGAGUCGCUAGUAAUCGCAGAUCAGCAACGCUGCGGGAAUACGUUCCCGGGGCU
rnacentral:rRNA from 1 species